UACAACGCACUACUUGUUUAUAGUGGUGGUUGCUGUCAACAGCACGCUGCUAACUAUCAACGCAGGAGACUAUAUCUUCUACACAGACUGGAUGUGGUCAUCAUUUGUCGUAUUUUCGAUCUCUCAAUCUACUAUGCUUGUAGUAGGAGCGAUAUACUAUAUGCUGUUCACAGGAGUUCCAGGAACUGCCACAUAUUAUGCCACAAUCAUGACCAUAUACACUUGGGUCGCCAAGGGUGCAUGGUUUGCAUUGGGUUAUCCUUAUGACUUCAUUGGGCUACGAGAAGAAACAAACACGCUGCCAUAAUCAUAGGUGGAACGCUGGUUGGCCUGUCCUUACCGCUGUUUAACAUGGUCAAUCUGCUGCUCAUAAGGGAUCCAUUGGAGGUGGCAUUCAAAUAUCCAAGGCCUACACUGCCAGCAUAUAUGACUCCCGUCGAACCUCAGGUUGGCAAGUUCUACAACAGUCCUGUUGCCUUAGGAGCAGGCGCGGGAGCGGUGCUGUGCGUUCCAAUAGCUGCGUUAGGUGCAAAGCUUAACACGUGG
rnacentral:rRNA from 1 species